rnacentral:rRNA from 1 species
UACAGAGGGUGCAAGCGUUAAUCGGAAUUACUGGGCGUAAAGCGCGCGUAGGCGGUUAUUUAAGUCGGGUGUGAAAGCCCCGGGCUCAACCUGGGAAUUGCAUCCGAUACUGAGUGACUAGAGUAUGAGAGAGGGAGGUAGAAUUCCACGUGUAGCGGUGAAAUGCGUAGAUAUGUGGAGGAAUACCGGUGGCGAAGGCGGCCUCCUGGCUUAAUACUGACGCUGAGGUGCGAAAGCGUGGGGAUCAAACAGGAUUAGAAACCCCGGUAGUCC